GAUGGAGCCUCACUGUUGUCAAGGCUGGUCUCAAACUCCUGGUCUCAAGCGAUCCUCCCACCUUGGCUUCCCAAGACACCAGUUCUUUUAUUUCAUCCUCCCCAAAUCUCUGAGGUAGGUAUUGUAUCUCCAUUUUUUUCAGAUGAGAGAACAGCUCAGAGAGGAGCUGGAACUUGCCCAAAUCACACUCAGCCUCAGAUCUUACCCCAUUUUCUGAUUCAUGAUGCCAUGUCCUUGUCCUUCCACAGCUCGGACUUCUAUUCUGGGGUGAAUUUGGGGUAAUCGUGACAAUGACAACAGACAAAAUUACUGAUGCUGGGAGCAGCAAGUUGGGUUUGGAGGUCAUUGCUAAGCUGUAAAAGAAGUGAUUUGACUAUAAACUUUGGCUGGGCCUCCCUGAACGGGAUCACAUACCACAAUGGAACCUCUGACAGGAAAGGUGGCUUCCCUCAUGCCCCAUCGUACUUUUUCAUCAUUCUUUAGAACCAUGGAGGAGUUCAAAUACCAGCUCAGACACUUCCUUGCUAGAUGACCUCAGGUAGAACAAAGGCAGUCAAGGGUGCAAGGAUAUUAGAAGCUGUGUUCUGUGAGCUUUCAUGAAGGCUGUGGAAGGAUCCAGGCAGGAUGGCCUCAAAUUAAGAUUUUAAUGACUCUUUGGUUUAGAAAACACACUCUUGCUGUUAACGCUAUCUUAUCAGGUAUCAUUUUUGAAUUCACAGAUGAAAGUUAAAAAAUUCAUAAUUAUACAAAUACUUGCCUUGUAUGUUUGCCUGUGUGUGUCUGUUAAGGAACAAAUGCAUAGUGCCUACAGGAAGUAAGGGCAAAAUAAUUUCAAGGACUGGGAGUUUCCGGAAUUACCUAUGGCAAAGGAAAUUGUGUGCUGCAUUUUGACAAGGUUAAAAGUAUCUACACCCAAAUAGUGACUCAAGGAGAGUAUGGGCGCCACAAGACCUUGUGAGUUUCAAACGUACAUUUAAAUGUUAUUCUUUGGGGGUUAAAAUGUUUUAUUUACAAAUGAACAAAGGUUGAUUGAUCUUGAUAAACAGGACCCCAGGUGAUCAAAAUUUCUGGCAGUAACCAUCAUUUGGUCAGUGUUUGAUCUUCGGUAAUAGAAGUAAGUAAAGUUUUGAUGUUGAUGGUGAUGAUGUGGGGUGGUUUUAGACACAAACACAUUUUUUUCACUCCUCCUAUCACGUUGACAAAAAUAACACUAAGUAAAUGCCGUCAGCUUUCUAUGACAUGCAAUUUUUCAACCAAGCAAAAUACAAUGUACCUAGGACCUCAAAGAAAUGUAAUAAUCUCAGUAUUCUUGUGAUUUGUUAGACGUUUUCCACAAACACCUACAGAAACUAUAUAUGUUUGCCUGGAGAUUUAAGGUAACAGGCUUAUAUUCGCAACAAGAUGAAUUUUUUAUUAGAUGUUAGGCAGACACAUUGUGCUGAUGCUAGAAAGUGUUUCUGAGAGAGUAUAUGCAGAAUGUCUUCUAUGGACAUUGUCAAGACCUAUUUAAAUACCUACAUCUAUUUGUAAAACUUUCUGCAUAGAUCUGUAGGAGGAGGCUAGUGAAUGAACUUUAUGAACUGGGAAGAUUCUACUAACUUUGGAUAUUCCAAAAUAAUGCAGCCGUCCAUUUAAAGUACACUAAAAUGGCACCUUUAAGGAGCAGGGGUGGUGAUGACUGGCAACUAUCAUAGGUUUGGCAGCAACAUUUUUAGACCUACAAACACGGUUGUAAAGCUGUGUUAUCCCUGUAGGAAACUGUUCUUUUGAAUGUCCAUUUUUUUUUUCUCCAGAAAAGAAACGUAGGGACUUGUCUUUAAGAUAAAACUAUAAUAAGAACCUUUAAGUUCAACUAUAUGAGGUUUAGCCUGACUUAGAAGUUUAAUAUUUAGCUUGGUUAAUUAAAUCUCAUUCUUUGCCCUGAAUUUAAUUAUUCCAACUAAUGUGGUAACUUAAUAUAAUAAUAAAAAAGAGGUUAAUUAGAAAUAGAAGAGAAUCUGACUAUUUGUUCAUCUGGCUCAGUGGGGGCAUUUCAUGAAGUGUCAGUUUAUGGAUGGCAAUGUUUUAUAGAGUAUAAAUUUUCAGUUAGUGAGGAAAUGAAAAUGAAAGACAGUAGAUAAUCAGUGAGUGAUUGUAUCAGGAAAUCACUAAAAAGCUAAUCUGUAAAGUUCAGGGCAUAUUUUAAUGUGACUUCAUGAUAAUGUAGGCAGUAUUUUUCUCCCUAGGUUGAGCUUAAAUCAUGUUCUUUAGACACAUUAUGAGUAAUUCCUUGUUUUGAGUUUCUAUUCAAAGGUAAGAAAGCCAAAUAUUUCCUACUUUUAAACAGAAAUGAGUGCUAAAAUAAAAAGAUGACCUUUCUUGCUUAGCUGUCACUUUCAAUACAAAUGGUCUGCUUUCUUAAUAUUUCUUAAUGCUCAAGUUCUGCGACCUUAAUGCUGAGGUGCUGUGCAGUGGAAUCAGACUUGGAUUCAAAUCCCAGCUGGAAAUUUGCUUAUGGUGUCAAGUUACUAUUCUUAUUGAGUCUCAGUCUUGUCAUCUGUGAAAUGAGGAUAAGGUUGUCUACACUCCUCGGGUUGCUGAGGAUAAAGUGAGAGAAUAUAGAGGAUACCAUACAGCCUGCCCGUUACAUAAUAGGUGCUCUGCAAAUGGUGGCUCCCUGUCCUCUGAACAAGUCACAAGCCUUCUUAUAAAUGAAUAACAGGUGCUAAUGUAUCAUAACACCAAAGGUAAGGCCAAGUGUUCUGGCUUAUGAACCAGGGCAGUGCUCCUUAAACUUGAAAGUACCAGUGAUUCAUUCACCUGGGGAUCUGGUUAAAUGCAGAUUCUACAUUUCUAACAAGCUCCCAGAUGAUGCUGAUACUGCUGGUUGGGGACCACCACACUUUUAAUAGCAUGGAACCAGAACAGUGACUUCUGAAUAUCGAGCUGACUUUAAGAGACUGGGCUAAGCUGUAAAAUAAAAUUUUACUCUGCCUUUUCUUUUCCCUGGUUUAAUGAUAAAAAUAUUGGGGAAAUCUG
rnacentral:lncRNA from 1 species